UUUCAGUGGAUGGAAGCAGCAUGCAAUGGAAGUGGAGCCUCUGCACUGAUAGAAUCUUUGAGCUUUGAACACACCUCUUUUCAGCAUGUUUUGUUUUCAAAGACUUCUAUGUCUGUUGAUUUUAUAGCCUUUACAGAGUUCACAAAAUUAUAGCCUAAAAAUGGCACUGUAUCAUUUUAGCUUCGGUCUACAGUCAUAUAAGAGAGUCAAUACCAUCACUUUCAUCGUUAGAUGAGCAGUCCUAAAUGCUUUUUUGUGUGAGUUCUUCAAGUUUAAUCCUUUUUUUCCCUGUGUUGCUGGAGACGCUGGUAAUAUCAAAGAGAACUGUAGGCUGAAAGCAUUCAUAAGACAUGAAGAGAUGGCGAGACGCACUGGAAAGUUUGGCUUCGUGGAUUUAUUAGCCUCCUCUGCAGUGAGCGUGCUGUGUCCCUCAGAGCUGGUUGUGCAGCAGUGGGGACAGACAGCAGAGCAGCUGCAGAGGGGUUCCAAGGAAAGGGUACAGCAAAACACAGAGAGCAUGGGGUCCUUGAAAGGCUCCAGACUGUCUCAGCCAUCCAGACCUCGGCCAGUGAAGCUGAAGUCAUUACGUUUCUUAUUUGUGUAUCUCAAAAUACGAAAAUCUCUCCUGAUUUCUUAAGAAAAUGCCUUAACUGAUCUCUGCGCCUGUGGUAGAAGAGGGAAAAAAAUAACUGCCUUCCCUUAAAUGAAGUUACUGUACUGUGUGACAAUGGGGGAGUGCAUCCAGUCCCAUGCUGCUGCUGCUUCAUCAUCCAUUACUCCGGCUGCUCAUAACAGCAGCCAAAGAUAAGUGACUCUGACCAUCCUGGCUUCUAGAAAUUCUUUUCUACCUUAAUGUCCGUGGUUCCCCUACAUAAAUCAAGUACAGUUGUGUCUGAUAUAAUUUUCUGCCAAGGCUAAUACAGCUGUUUCAUUCUUGUAUGGGGCAGUAAGAGGGGUAUGAUUGCUUAUGCAGCUGGGAACCUCGUGCUUACAGGUUUCACGCUGCCUCCAGCGUUGGAGAGCGUAAUCUAAAGAGCAUGUUAUGCUCUGUACAGACCACUUAUGUGGAAGAAUCAAUAAUGGAAGAGGAAGUAUUGUGCAUCAGAAGGAGAGGAGUGUCAUUUGGCUUCCUUGGCACUAUUGCAUUGCGUACUGAUCUUUCACUGGACAUAAAAUACACAUACAUGUAUUGCAUUCAAGGAAAGAUCACUACUACUAUUAGUACUUAACCACAGGAGUAAAAAUUUGUUUGGCUUAGUGUCUCUUCUUCUUAAUGUAAAUUUUUAUCUUGGGGAAUGGCUGCCCAUUAUCAAGGUAGUUAAAAAUAUAACCCAGAAUAUAUUAAGCAUGGUAGGUCCUGUUCAAGCAGGCAGCACGUGUAAAUUUUUAGCUCCUUAGUGAAGGAUAAAGAAUUAGCAGUUUUCAGUUUUCUUUUUAUGGACAGAUUUGUUAAAAAGGGGAGACAUUGUUAUAUGGCUAUUGAUUUUCCAACAUGCUUGGAAACCACCCAUCAUGUGGCUUGUUCUAAUUGGUUUGUUUGGUUUUGUUUAAUCCUUAAUGAGCAUGCAUCCGCAGCUGAAUAUUUGUGUUUAAAUAAAUAGCUUCCAUGCAUGUCUGUUGCACCCAUCUUUUGGAGAAGGUUUGAGCCAGAGUGUAUGUGUGCUCUGAUCACCAUGCUAACAUGCUUUUGCUUCAGUUUUGGCCAAUUUGACAAGUGAAAAAUAGAUGUCUGCCAUGUGACAAGCUGCUGAAUAUAAAUUCUGUUAGCAUUUGCUCCUGAUAGAGAAGAGGUGAGGGCUAGGGAGAGAGUGAGGAAGAAAGGGGGAGUUCGAAGAGGCAGGGAGAGAAGAAUGGAAAAAUGAGCAAGACAAAAAGAGAGCUCCAACAGCGGCUGGCAGCAGGUGCCAGCAAACCAGUCAGCACUCUGGCUGUAGAUGCCAUAUGACCCUGCAGACAUAUACUACAAUUUCAAAUUAAUAAGUAAAAGCAGUGAAGAGGCGCAUUUGUGGUGCCAUGUCCCAGUAUGUAGUCACAUUGACCUGAGAGUGGCUGCACAAACAUACUGAUACUUUGCAGAAGAACAUAGUAAUAGGUUUUAAAUCUGAAAUUCCCAGCUAACUUCCUGGGGACUGAGCACAGUCUGCAGCAUGCUCUAUUUUCUGCGGAAUAGGCUGCUUUGUUAGUCAUGUAAGUGAGAGAGCCGAUGUUUAUUUAAUUCCUAAAUCACCCACUGCUCAUAUUUCUGAUGCAUGUUUGCCUUCUGUCAUCAGUGUUUGCUGUGGAAGCAGUUAGCUGCCCUUCACACAGCAUCAAGAGGGUUUUCUCAUUCUCCCCCUUCCUUCUGGCAGAUGCUUUGCACCUACGGAGAACUGAGCUUGUGAGUGUUUGAGAACCUUUAUCCAAGCAGAGGAAGUCCUGGUUCUGCCUGGCUGGAGACAGAAGGGACACUGAUGUACUCCACACCUCCGCCAGCCUGAACACUUCCCUCUUGCAGAACUGAGUAUUUUAAUCUUCCAUCAAAGUAUUUGUUCAAAAAUAACCAGGAUUCCAAUAAAAUUGGGACUACGGAGUUAAAGAUAUCUUUGUUAAAAUACUGCACAAAUUAAAACACACACAUUAAAAACCACGUAUUUGAUAGCAGACAAACAGAAAAGAUCUUCUGACUGUGUCUGUCCAAAGAAGCACGUUAAAGGUCAGUCCUCUGUCAGAAAGCAACAUAACAGCACAGAGGGUGAGGAUAAUUUGUGAGCUGAGCUUCAACACUGUCUCUGUGAUUGCCAGCAUCUGUUGUGGUUUCCAGACUUGUCCAAUGAGAUUUGCUAAUACAGUUGUGUGUUUCAUGCCAUGCUGCUGAAUGCAAAUAUAUGGAGCAUGUUACAUCCAAUAUAGCUCACCCUCAGGGAAAGUCUUAUUGCCACACUUCCCCUUAUACAGUCCAAGAUGUCCUGUCAAGAAAACAGGGAUAUAGACCAAGUUGAAAUGAAGCUGAAUCAGACCUUGGAUACUGAUUUGCAUCAGUAAAUAUGGACUCAGACUGCAAAGCAGAGAUCUGGAUUUCACAAAAUUCUGCUCUAUUCCGGUCAGGACUGAGAUUAAGACCUUAAAGUAACAAAGGGAUGUUCAGCACUGAUGUAGAGAUAAUGCUCUCCCUCUUUGCUCACUUUCUGAAUUUCUGACCCUUCUUGGGUGGAAGAGUCUACGGUGUGCCAGUGUGCCUUCAAAUACUCUGCAUCCCUGAAAAUCAAAAAGAUCAUAACACUGAGCUGGACUGAGUUGUUUAUGGGACAGAAGUAACUUCUUACCAUACUGACGUUUUCAGAAAAGCUUAUGUAAGUAUAAAACGUGUUACAAAGAGUAA